rnacentral:tRNA from 1 species
ACGGGAGUAGCUCAGUUGGUAGAGCACCGGUCUCCAAAACCGGGUGUCGGGAGUUCGAACCUCUCCUCCCGUGC